AGAGUUUGAUCAUGGCUCAGGAUAAACGCUGGCGGUGUGCUUUAUGCAUGUAAGUCGAACGGGUUCCGCAAGGAAUCAGUGGCGGACGGGUGAGUAACGAGUAAGUGACCUGCCCUUAAGUGGGGAACAACUCUGAGAAAUCGGAGCUAAUACCGCAUGAAAUCCUUUUUAUAAAUAUUGAGGAUUAAAGCCGUAAGGCGCUUUUGGAGGGGCUUGCUUAUGAUUAGCUAGUUGGUGAGGUAACGGCCCACCAAGGCUACGAUCAUUAGCUGGUUUGAGAGGACGACCAGCCACACGGGGACUGAGACACGGCCCCGACUCCUACGGGAGGCAGCAGCAAGGAAUAUUGGGCAAUGGGCGAAAGCCUGACCCAGCGACACCGCGUGGGGGAAGAAGACCUUCGGGUUGUAAACCCCUUUUAUCAGGGAAGAAUAAUGACGGUACCUGAUGAAUAAGCCCCGGCUAACUACGUGCCAGCAGCCGCGGUAAUACGUAGGGGGCAAGCGUUAUCCGGAUUUACUGGGCGUAAAGCGGGCGUAGGCGGCUUGUUAAGUCAGAAGUGAAAUCUCCCGGCUCAACUGGGAGGGUGCUUUUGAUACCGGCAAGCUUGAGUGCAGCAGAGGAAGAUGGAAUUCCCGGUGUAGUGGUGAAAUGCGUAGAUAUCGGGAGGAACACUAGUGGCGAAGGCGGUCUUCUGGGCUGUAACUGACGCUGAGGUCCGAAGGCGUGGGGAGCAAACAGGAUUAGAUACCCUAGUAGUCC
rnacentral:rRNA from 1 species